rnacentral:rRNA from 1 species
UACAGGGGGUGCAAACGUUGCUCGGAAUCAUUGGGCGUAAAGCGCACGUAGGCGGUUUGUCGCGUCUGCUGUGAAAACUCGGGGCUUAACUCCGGGCCUGCAGUGGGUACGGGCAGACUAGAGUGCGGUAGGGGAGACUGGAAUUCCUGGUGUAGCGGUGAAAAUGCGCAGAUAUCAGGAGGAACACCGGUGGCGAAGGCGGGUCUCUGGGCCGUAACUGACGCUGAGAGACGAAAGCUAGGGGGAGCAAAUGGG